rnacentral:sRNA from 1 species
AUGAAGAGGAAGAAGAAGAUGAAGAAGAGGAGGAAGAAGAAGAAGAUGAAGAUGAAGAUGAAGAAGAAGAAGGAGAUG